UGAACUCUGGCCUUGUUUAUUUCCUUCAAGAAGGAUUCAGAUGAGGUAGAAUGUUUGGACUUGCUGCUUCUACAAAAGAAGCAGCUUAUUUCAAUCGUAUGAUGUACUGCCUAAAGAGCCAUUGAGUUCUCUUUUGGCUUUUAAGCUUAGCCAUCCAACUCGUGAAGUAUCAGUUACUUCCCAAAUGACCAAAAGAAAGAAAAAACUGCCGCCAAAUGAAACUACUCAGCUUCCUAUUUGUGAAUUGUGAUGUGGGUUGAUUCUCUUCUCGUGUUGAUUUUUGUCCAGUAGGAUUUCUACUUUUGAUCAUGCCUUCCUUUCAUUUGAUAUUUCAGCCUUCAUGGAGAAAUGCUUAGCUUCACUAGAAAUUGGAGUUUCUGCAUUCUAAUGCACUCG
rnacentral:lncRNA from 1 species